rnacentral:rRNA from 1 species
UACGAAGGGGGCUAGCGUUGCUCGGAAUUACUGGGCGUAAAGCGCACGUAGGCGGCUCUUUAAGUCGGGGGUGAAAUCCUGGAGCUCAACUCCAGAACUGCCUUCGAUACUGUAGAGCUUGAGUUCGGGAGAGGUGAGUGGAACUGCGAGUGUAGAGGUGAAAUUCGUAGAUAUUCGCAAGAACACCAGUGGCGAAGGCGGCUCACUGGCCCGAUACUGACGCUAAGGUGCGAAAGCGUGGGGAGCAAACAGG